rnacentral:lncRNA from 1 species
GCAGAGGGAUUGUUUCUGGUUUGAGGCUACCCUAGCUCGCAUAGUGAGUACAGGCCAAUAGGGCUUUAGAACAGUAAGCUGUCCCACGAGAAGAAAGGAGAGGAAAACUGACGGAAGGAAGGAGUAUCACUUCAAAUCCUACAGGAAUGUUCAGUUAUUAGGUAAGGGGCCUGGUUCCUCCUGGGAGAAGGCAGUUUUCAUAGCUGUAAAGAGUUCGGUUCUAAAGGCCCCUUCCACUGUGCUGCUGUGGUUCUGUGUGUAGCAGUAGAGCAGGCCAGCAUAUGUGAAACUCUGCUGCCAAGAAUUUUUCUUUUCACCAAGCAGCAUUCCAUUACUUUGAGAUUUCAUGAAAAUUUAAGCUGCUCAGUGAGUAAAGAAUUACUUAGCUUAUUUCUAAAAGGAGGAAGAAGCCCGACAGCCCAGGUUAGACUGAAUCUUAUCUGUGGGCUGAGGAACGAAAGGCUUACAGCUGUUUCCACACUUCCUUACCAACAUAUUUAUGCUAACCCGAGUCUGAGAUCUGGGACACUGGGCAAGAACACCAUCACACAUUUUAAGCUCCUCCAUCUCAAAGAGUUAAGUCCACAUGGUGAGGAUCAGCACUCACUCAGAAAUGAUUUGCAAUAAAGAUAAUAGUUUUAAUAUUUUAACUGCUCUCUCUUCUCUCCUUUGAUCGUAAACUCCAGGUAUACCAAAUCGCAUGGUUUGCUUAUUGAACAAGGCAUACCAAAAGCUAAACUUAAAGAGAUUGUGGCUGACUCUGAUGUCAUGCUCA